UUAAAAACAUCACACAGCACUUGCUGGGAGCUCAGACGAAUACACCUGGUUAGAAAAAGCUGCCCUAAAGGUCUGUCCUAAACGCAGUAUCAGCUGCGUAUGCAAAGUUCAGACCCUCCUGGGUCCGUGCAAGGCAGCUAACAGCAGGUGCUAACACUCCAGAUCUGCAGGCAAGAAAAGACAGUAAACUAAAAAAUCUGCUUAUGUACAAGUCUUUCACCCCCACUUCUCAUAAAUACCAACUGAGACUUUCAAAUACCUGCCCAGUUACAACAGGAUUUUCUUAAUAGCAUACAUUACUUGCAUUUAGCCACCAGCCCACCCCCUUCAGACAGAGCUCCUCCGAGGAAGUGCCUGUGGGACCCAAGACAUUCCUUAGCACCUCUCAGAACCCACCCAGUGCUAUAGAUAACAUCUGACAAGAAACUUUCAAGGAAGCACCAUGUUUGCUGGUGGUGUUCUUCCCACUGGCUACCUAAAGAGUUACUAAUGCUUCAUACUGAAAGAUACAUUCACUUUCUGCUACAGGAGGAUCCAGUUUAGUAAAUAUUGAAGGAGAGUAGAAGAGAAGACAGGAUAGCGUAACAAAGAUGAAACUGCUGAAAAGCAAGAGAAAAUAAAUCCCUGUGUUGUUUGAAUAUGCUCACUGGACAAUGUCAAAGCCCUGGCAGGGGUGGAAGUGGUUUGUACUAAGAGCCCUCACAAGUCCUCUAUUGCAGAACAAGGAUGAUCUCAUGCCGAGGUCUGCACAGGGAUCCACUGCCGACAGAUGAGCCAUUUUAAAUUCACCCUACCAGGAAACCACAUUCCCCUGCUGAACACAGGCUCGGGCUGUCUAGGGGCUUCAGGACGCCGAGGACCAACAAGCACUUGCCAGUUCCCCUCCUACCAGCACAACCCCGAAUCCGCAGCGGUGCCGGCAGCCAUCCCUCCCGGGAUCUGGAGGGACGCGCGGUUACGCCAGCAAACCGUGUUUGCCGGAAAAUAAAUGUGAGGUGCGCUCAGCCAGCAACAAUGCGAGGCCGCGUCAGAGCCAAAUGUCUGCCGGGCGAGCGGAGCCGAGCAGGCUGCCGAGCAGGGAGGGAAACUGAUGAUUCGACAGUCGGAAGAAGCGCCUUGCCUCCCCGCGCUGACUCCACGCGUUCGGCGCCCGGCGCGCACCAGCUGCUGGGCACAGUCUCCCUGACGGAGGGAGCAGGCGGCAGAGCUGCGGGUGUAACCCGAGAGUCCACAGCCAGCCACCCCACCCACAGGCACAGCUCCCACGGCUAUAAAAAGGAGAUUCACUCACUUCCAGCCUUGUCAGACUCCCCAGGGGAAGGGUCGGUGCUGGGAAGCGUUUAGGAGCCGAGUGGGCCAGCAGCACCCGGAGAUGCCCUGACAAGGCCACAGGUGCUCCACUCCACCUGGGUGUACAACAGAUCUGCCCUAAGGGAUCAGCUGCCAGCUCUUCUUGGCAUUUAAGGGGUCUGCAGUGUUUUGAACUGCUCCGUUUGGGGAGAAGACCUUCAAUCUUCUGGAGUAAUCCACAGUGCUAAAUCAUUGUCAGGGCUUCAACAUGGUCAGUGUCCCACUCCCCCUACCCUCCAUGAACCCCCUCCUAGAAGCCUGACCAUGGGCUUCCCCUCCCUUCUCUUAAUUUUCAGAUGCUUGAGGCUGCCCUUGUUUUGAACUGUCUUGGCAAUUUGAGAAAUCUGCCUCUGCAACUUCAGGUGUGGUAAGAAAUACAAUAGAAGCAGCCCAAAACGGAAGAAAAAUCAGGUUGGACUGCUUUUUCAAACAAUUCAGUUUAUAUCUGAAGUGAAACUUCUGGCAAGUUUAAUACUUACACUGGCCCCUCUAAGAACCACAGCAUAAACUAUACUCUGAUAAUUUGUCAUUUGUUCCUACAACUUCAGACAACCGGUGCUGCUCCUGUGGAAAGUUAGUAUUUCGAGGUGGUCCUUUGUUCCAGGCUUUUUUCCCCGCUGUAGUCAGGUCUGCUAACCACAGAGGAAUUUUUGUGUGAACAAAUGCAGUGUCCUUUUUUUUUUUUUUUUUUUUUCCACCAUCACUAGCUCUGAGGCAGAGAGAUCAGAUUUGGGAAAGGUGCUCUCAUCACAACUGCUCUUCUCCAUCCGCACUGCCCUCUUCAACACCUGAUUAAUAUUUAAGUCUAUUAACAGUUGCUUACGUUAGCCAGCUUGGAUCACCACAUCCUCAACAUUCUUCUUUCCCGAUCCCUUUUUUCCCAGCAUUUAUGUUCAUGAACACUCACAAUCCGUGUACUUUGAAAUGUCCCACACUGAGGAAUGACACCGCAGCACCAUGACCGAAGACUACAGAGGCCUUGGGCCCAAGUAGAUGGCUGCAAGUGGUUUGGGUUCAUUUUUUCUGAGAACCCAGCACAACAGCAAGUGCAUGUGGAUCCCAAUACCCCUAGGCUUUUGGCCAAAGCAGUUCUGUUUUGUGCAAGGGAGUCUGCGUUUCCAGCCUGGACAAACAGGUUCUGGAAGACUUCAGGAGAAGCUCAGGUGUGCCUGAGGACACUGCGGCAAGGGGGAAGGAAUGGAACUGAGCUCAGGAAAACUCCCAUCUUAAUACUGUAGAGAAGAGCUUCAUGGAUUCCCUCUGAAUGCUUUAAUUCCUGUUUCACAGGACAGCCAGCCAGGAGACCAAAAAUGGCCAUUUUUGGUUUUUGUUUGCCUUCUAUCAAAUAUAGUUCUUGCUCUUUAUAUUAACAUGUUAUCUGAAAAAGCCCAGAGCUCACAUUUAACACAAAACUCCACAAAGAGGUAUGACCAAUAAAUGAAUGACAAACCUUAGUCCAUUAUCCUUUCCAGUUUAAGUACAAAAAAAAAAAUGGGAACCCAACUCAGAUUUCUCUGUUAAAAAAAAAUUAAGUCAAUUUCUUCUGCCCUCACCGAAGGAAACAAGAAGUUCUUUGACAAUAAAAUUGAGAGUAAUUAUAGGCAAAAUAAUGUCAAUGAAUUUUCCCGUAAGUAGUAGGACUGACAACACUGCAGGAAUCUCAGCUGUGAUCACAUGCUUAUUUUAUGUUUAAGGGGCAGAAUUCCCAAAAAGGAAGGAGCACAAAAAUGCAAAGAACUCCCUCAAAGAGCUCAGAAAUUUUGACAGCUGUGCUGGCCUAAACUCCAGGUAGUUUACCACCUGAAACACCCCCAGAAACUCAGACCUGAUCCACCAUUUCAGGAGCUGCUGAUCGAGCAUAAAGGAGUGACCAUCACCAGUCAAAUGAGAGAAAAAAAGCGUUGCUGUGUUUUGGACAAGCCAUGAGUGGGACAGCCGAGCAGCUCUGGGAGAUCUGCUCAGGAGGAAUGCCAGCACGUCCACCUCUCCGGACGAGGGCAUGCGUUUCUGUUGUGAGGCCAUCACCAUGAUAAAUAAAGGUGCAGCCAGCAUGAGUUGUGCAACUGGAAAAAACACUUCAUACCCCCACAUCCUACUCUUGGCUUCCCAUGGGAAGGGCACAGUCAGGAGUGACACUAAAAUCCUCAAACUUGCCCAGAUUUUUCAAACGUGCUCAGAUUUUAAGUGAGUUCUGACACGGUGUGCCACCAGCAUGAAAAAAAUGACAGCAAGAAAAAACCACAACCUUGCAACAAAACUGCUGGUACAGCUGUGCUAUCUAUCUGGAGUGGAUAAUGGCAUAACUCCUCAUGUGCCCCAGCGACUGCUCAAGUGUUAGUCCAGACAGAAACACAGCAACCUGCAAAUUCAGUCACUGCUGAUGCUAGCAAAUUGCCACUGGAGUCAUCCAGAUGGCUGUACCAAUAGAAUUAACUUUGUCAAAAUACUCUGUACACACACUAGAUUAAUAGUUGUAUCAAACUUGGAAUCUCCCUUUUGAGAAUACUUACGUUUUUCAUUCCUCUUAUACUAAAAUGAUCUACAGAAAAAGUUAAAAAGCAGGUUUCACUGCCAUCACACUCUUGCAUUUUUCUUGACUUGUACUGAUAUUAUUUGUAGUACAGUAAAUUCAGUUCUUUAAAGCUUGUAUGUAUUAUACACACACGUAGCACCUCUGUAGCCCUUGCAGAGCAGCAGUGCAAAUAUUUAAAUUGUACUUGUUGUGUAUUAUCUAGCAAAGGAACACAAAGUUUACGAACACUACCAAGAGAUGAAAUAUUUCUUGCUGUAUGCAAAGAGGAGGUCUACUGACUGGAGUAUGGUUCUGAUCUUUUAAGCUGCUACUGUAAACAGUAUCAUGCAAAUAAAAGUAUUCUGGUUGCUCAAAUGACUGAGAAAAUGCCAGUAUCUGACAGAAUCUGACUUGAGAGCACACUUCCUGUGAUUUUAAGCCCCAAUCCUACAUAUUUAGGAAGACGGGAGUAGUAUGCUUCUGUUCUUUCACAACAGAAUACAACAAUAUAACUGAGUUGCUGAAAUAUGACAAUUUUUCUUUGCACGUAUGCUCAAAUCUAUUUUUUAUCAGAAAUUCCCAUGAAUAACCAAAAAAGCCAGUAAUAGCUAAUAUUCUAACCUAAGAAUGAUGUACCAAUUCUAUUUAUUAAAAAAAAAAAAAAAACAACAACUUUUUAUGUCACAGAAAGGCAAAACUUUUAACCAUUAGAACUGGAUUCCAUAUCCACUUGUAUUUUACUUUCGGCCAGACCAUUUUUUUUCACCCUCCUCCGUUUCACUGACUAGAUAAACCAGAACUACUAUACUAGCUUUGCUACCCACAGAAAUCGGUAUAUCCGAGUAUUUCUAAAAAGUCUCUCAGUGUUUUGUGUUUAAGCAUAUUAAUAUUACAAUGUUAGCAUAAAAUACAUUUCAUGAAUACUUCCCCGAGAACUAUACAGGUGAGAAGGUGGAGAGUGAUUUGCUCUCAGCGCUGACCCCUAACUUCCUACUGCCGUGCUUCAGCCACUGAAGCUUUUUACAUUCUCACUCUUCUACUCACAGUUUGUGUUUAAACAUACACACUGAGCACAUAGGCAUUUGAGCAAGAUAUCAUUAGCUAAUGACUGAAGGAAACCAUGAAUAAGCUUAGUCGCAUGAGCUGUCUCAGUAGAACUUCGUGUCGGUCACAUCAUGUAACCCAUUUAUACGCCAAGCUGCUUUUGAUGUUUUACUUGUUGAAUGCCGAGCUUCAUUUCCUAACCUACACAUGUGUAGGCAAAUAGGCUUUUGUUCCCUCUUGUAAUUAUCAUGUUGUAUUAUACAAGUAUUACAUUAACAUAUGCUCUAACUGAUGGAGUGCAAUGAUGUCACUGGAAAUAAACAAACACUAUUAAAAAUUGAAGGAGAAAUCUAAUCCUAAGCUUUCCAGAACAGAGCACCUUUACUGGAGCAAACAUGUUGGCUAUCUCGUGGACUAAUCUUGUUUCAGGAACUGAAACCUUUCUUUUUUAUCACUAAGAUGAUUCUUUCUUACGCUAAAAUGCCUUGGCACAGACAUGACAACACUCGCCCUUUAUGCUCACGAGUGGAAGCUGGCCCAUGCACAGAAAGCAUCUGAUGGGCCAAACUGAACAUGUUCAGAGAAAGAAGCAAUGACUGAUACGAAGAGCAGAGCGCUCUGAGGAGCAAGCUGGUAUCACCAGCCAUCCUGUCAGCUUGAAUGGACGGGGUUACAGAAAAGCCCUUUAGAUCACUAACAGAAAUAUCCUUGUCAAGGGUGAUGAGAAUGACACACUUCACCGAGUUAUUUCUGUUCACUGCCUGCUUACCUAAGAGCAGGUGGUCAACCUGUUGCUUUUUCUGCUACUAGCUGUGAGCCAGAAAUUUGGAACACCAAAGAAAGUACAAGCCUUAAGAAUUAACAAAACAAUGUCCCAUUAAAAAAAAAAAAAGGAGAAUAAGUAGCUAACAAUUGAGAAUUCAGCUGUGAAUUUCACAGGUUGUAGUCAGGGUCUGCAUUUUCAUCUAAAUUUCAUUUUGCACAUAGCGGUUUUCUGACUUCACUUCCCUACACAGAAAUUCUCCAACACUAUAAAAGCACUUGCUACGCUGCAUCCUAUUUAUCAGUUAUAAGGCUUUGUCAGCUGUAAAAAUGUACUUUCAGGCUACCUGAACUACUGAGUGACAAGUUGCUUCACUACCCCACGUCUCAUUUUCCUGUCUGUAAAACCAAUAAGGAAAAAUAAUCAAACCAACAGCUUCUGCAACAUAUUUGAAGAUACAGCAUUUUUCAUCCAUAAUUAAGUAAUGUAAUUUGCAUGAACAGGCCAUUUCUUCUAUUCUUGGCAUGCAGAGAGGGCAUAGCUGCCACAGAAGAAAGUGGAGACAGAUCUUACCUAGAGAGUGAUACUUCCUAUAUAACCCAAAGCAUAUUGGAUCGUUACCUGCCCUAUCAUGGUUCAAGUGGGAACAAUUCUAUUUUUGCCAUGUGAUUAUGGAAAGCUCCUGCCCAUGUAUAUAAGUGUUACAAAUAUGACUCCAGGUAAGAACGCUGCCGCCUGGCCCAAGUAUUCUUCCUUUCUCCUUUAGGUAAGAGGCACGCUGUGUCAGAAAUUACACAGAACCAUGCAAGACCUUCCUUGCUUUUCCUCUUGCACAAUUGCCCAGACACUGACACGUUAUUUCUAGUGUCAUUUCUUCAUGUUCCUUUCUCUUAUUUCCAGUUUGAUCCACCCCUUGUUUUCAGAUUAAUUGGUAGCUCCAUCAAUUAGCCCCCUGUGUUCUAUCAAGGGGGGCUUUAAAAAACUACACAAAGCAGCUUCAAGGAAUCUGGGCAAAGCUGGUCCACAACUCUCCAAAAAUCCCCUGCUGGUAAUUUUACCACUCCUACAUACUAUGCCUUUUAUAUUCAGUACCUUUUUAAUCCAAUAAUUUAUUAAUCUGACAGUGACAGAAUGCACAUCAGCAUAAGUUAGGUAAAAACCACUGCAGGUAGAAGAGACCCAAACUGUUACCUAGUUUUACAUUCCCUACCACUGAUGUGAACCACUGCAAAAGACACAGAGAGGCUGUAUUGAACUUUCGAUGCAAUUUCUAAUUUGGUCUAGCAAGAAUUUUUCAGUCAACUCAAACGUGAGAAGUCAGUGCUCAAAAAUAAGUUCACUGCUAAAGAGAUGGGAAUCAAGUGACUUAAGACUUAUUUGGGGAAGCAGAGAGAAAAGAGCUGCAACAGUCAUGAAGGGCGAGGAUGAAAAAACUUAGGUGGUUGUUCCCCAAAUACCAACGACGCCAUCAGUAAGAGGGUGAGAUGGCUUCUUCUUCCUUUGUUUAGGCCUGUGCAGUCAUUGCUGCAACCAAUAAAGAUAUAAUUUUUAUGAUGGCUCCCAGACUUUGUGGCUGGCUGGUACAGCUUUUAUCUCAAACCCAAGGCAUUAGUGAGCUAUUGAUCAUUGUAAUAUUAGUUCAGUGAGGCUCAGCACAGUCAAUUCCUUUGGUCUAUUUUUAGUUGCAGUAUUUCCCAUUGGGUUUAUUGCAUGUGGAAACAACAUAUGGAAGGGGCAUCAAUAAAUACUUGUACAAGCCUUGUUUCUGUUUUCUUUCUUUAAACUUUAUCUAUUUUCAUCAACACUUUGGGAAAUACCAAGUAAACAAUUUAGCAUUAUAAGACAAUCUUGCAGAAUGUAUGCUGAGCUGCGUUGACAUAAGUUAACACAGAAAAUACCAACAAUAGAUAAGCCUAGGAAAUCAAUAAUUCUACCAAAGAAAUAGAGGAAGAGUGACAUUGCUAGUAAACACUCACUUAGUAAAAGUAUGUAUAUACAUGCCACACAAUAUUGAUUGUACCUUAUUCUCUGAAUGUCUUACUAUUAACGAAUUAGACACUUGUAAGAAAAUCAUUAGUCUACCAAGUGGUUUUGUUAAUAAAUGUUUUUCAGUCAUUUGCAAA